rnacentral:rRNA from 1 species
CGAGGGGCAGCGUGGAGCAGCAAUGCUCUGACGGCGACCGGCGGAAGGGUGCGUAACACGUGAGCGACUUGCCCGUCACAGGGGGAUAACCGGCGGAAACGGCGACUAAUACCCCAUAUGCUGCGAUGCUGCAUGGCAUUGCAAUGAAAGAUUCAUCGGUGGCGGAUAGGCUCGCGGGACAUUAGCUAGACGGCGGGGCAACGGCCCACCGUGGCGACGAUGUCUAGGGGUUCUGAGAGGAAGACCCCCCACACUGGGACUGAGACACGGCCCAGACUUCUACGGGAGGCAGCAGUGAGGAAUAUUGGUCAAUGGGCGGAAGCCUGAACCAGCCAUGCCGCGUGAAGGACUAAGGCCCUACGGGUCGUAAACUUCUUUAGACGCAGAGCAAUAAGGUCCACGUGUGGACCGAUGAGAGUAUGCGUAGAAUAAGCAUCGGCUAACUCCGUGCCAGCAGCCGCGGUAAUACGGGGGAUGCGAGCGUUAUCCGGAUUCAUUGGGUUUAAAGGGUGCGUAGGCGGCCGAGUAAGUCAGCGGUGAAAGACCGGGGCUCAACCCUGGAAGUGCCGUUGAUACUGUUUGGCUGGAAUGAUCCCGCCGCGGGAGGAAUGAGUGGUGUAGCGGUGAAAUGCAUA